UCCCUCCCUGGUUGGAGGGCAGGUUACCCUCUCCCACCGCGCCUUUAAAAAGUCCUGAGAUCGUAUCUCCUUGGAACUUACAAUUCCUAGUGCCUGUAUCCAGUUUUCAAAUGGCAAAGCAAGUGCUUCCGUGUGGAGGUUUGCACCACAGAUGUACAAGGAGAUGCUGAUUAACUCAGGAGAAAAGCAGCAACUAAUUCAGAUAUGCUUGGAGAGCAGCGGCUAGAAAACUUUUUGCUUUUGGACAGAAUUUAAAACUGCCUAUAUUUUACCCCAAGACAGUCAGUCUUGGAAGCAAGAAGUCCAAGAGCUAAUGCUGCUACUGGCUUGGCAAAAGCUAGAGUCAUCCAAGAGAGGCCAUCUUGGCUAGCAGCUGGGACACUGCCUGCACAAUGGAAGCUGGCCUCUUGCCAGGGUCUGCUUUGUAGAGGAUGAGAAGAAGCAAACGGAAGUCUAAUCAAAAAGGCUACCUCCACCUCUGCGUGGAACAGUUUGAGAGGGAGAUAAAGGAAUGGAGAAGGCCAUCAUUAGGUGCCUCAAAACUCAGACAGACAGAACGGAAUGGAGGGACCUGUGACAAGGGACUCAUUAAUCAUCAAUCAUUCCAUAGCCUCAUUUAAUCUGUUUUUGUCAGAUAAGAUUUAGUGACAAAAACCCCAAUUGUUCCUCUCUUACUACUUCUUUUCCAGUUGUCUACAAAAUUACCCUAAGAAAAAUA
rnacentral:sRNA from 1 species